rnacentral:rRNA from 1 species
GGCUCAGAUUGAACGCUGGCGGCAUGCCUUACACAUGCAAGUCGAACGGCAGCGGACCUUCGGGUGCCGGCGAGUGGCGAACGGGCGAGUAAUAUAUCGGAACGUACCUUUCAGUGGGGAUAACGUAGCGAAAGUUACGCUAAUACCGCAUAUUCUGUGAGCAGGAAAGCAGGGGAUCGCAAGACCUUGCGCUGAUUGAGCGGCCGAUAUCAGAUUAGCUAGUUGGUGAGGUAAAGGCUCACCAAGGCGACGAUCUGUAGCGGGUCUGAGAGGAUGAUCCGCCACACUGGAACUGAGACACGGUCCAGACUCCUACGGGAGGCAGCAGUGGGGAAUUUUGGACAAUGGGCGCAAGCCUGAUCCAGCCAUGCCGCGUGAGUGAAGAAGGCCUUCGGGUUGUAAAGCUCUUUCGGCCGGGAAGAAAUCGCACGGGUUAAUACCCUGUGUGGAUGACGGUACCGGAAUAAGAAGCACCGGCUAACUACGUG